rnacentral:rRNA from 1 species
GACGAACGCUGGCGGCGUGCUUAACACAUGCAAGUCGAACGAUGAAGCCGGAGCUUGCUCUGGUGAAUUAGUGGCGAACGGGUGAGUAACACGUGAGUAACCUGCCCUUGACUCUGGGAUAACUGCUAGAAAUGGUAGCUAAUACCGGAUACGACCCUCGGCGGCAUCGCCAGGGGGUGGAAAGAAUUUCGGUCAAGGAUGGACUCGCGGCCUAUCAGCUAGUUGGUGAGGUAACGGCUCACCAAGGCGACGACGGGUAGCCGGCCUGAGAGGGGGACCGGCCACACGGGGACUGAGACACGGCCCAGACUCCUACGGGAGGCAGCAGUGGGGAAUAUUGCACAAUGGGCGCGAGCCUGAUGCAGCAACGCCGCGUGAGGGAUGACGGCCUUCGGGUUGUAAACCUCUUUUAGUAGGGAAGAAGCGAAAGUGACGGUACCUGCAGAAAAAGCACCGGCUAACUACGUGCCAGCCGCCGCCGUAA